rnacentral:lncRNA from 1 species
CCUGUGGCAGGGUCAUAUCACCGACUAUUCUUCUUGCGGUACCAAUGUAUUAGCCCCCAUUGACAGGAUCCUCAACAUAGCCCGACUGCAAUUCUGAAUCUAUUUCACAUCUUUAUCUUUUUUUACAUUAUGUUCAGUGUUCCAAGCCGAAAAGUACAACGUCAGAGCAAUUAAACAUAAUUCAAAUCAGAAGCAAAUAUGUUCAAUCAGAGUAAUACAAUAUUCUAAAAAUAUACAUAUAAUUCAUGCAUCAAAUUCGAAAUCACGAAUAAUUCGAUUCGUAAAACAUACCUAUAGUUUGCUGAUAAAUCUAGAAAAGAGGUUACAUCACUUACCUUGCGAACGCGAUCUACAAUAAAUCUAAUUAAUUCCGCAAAUCCCUCGCAGAACCUAAUAUUCAAAAACCAUUUUCUUCUUUUAAAAUUCAUCACAAUAUAUAUAUACAAAGACUUAAAUUUUUAAUAUCCUCCCAUGGGUGGCCCUGCAGGAGUGCCAAACCCCGAGUUUGGGUUCAUGCCCGUAAACCACCCCCUCUCUUUAUUAUUAUAUUUAUUAUAUUUUUUUUUCUUUUCUUUUUCUUCUUUCUUCUUUUCUCUUUUUCUUUUUUUUUUCCUUUUUCCUUCUUUGCUUUUCCUUUUCCCUUCCUCUCCUUUUCUUUUUCUUUUCUUCUCUUCUUCUCCAGAAACUUCUCCCGACUUCUUUCUUCUUCUCUCUUCUCUAUUUCUUCUCCUUUCCCCGCUUCUUCCUUUCUUCUUUUCCUUUUUUUUUCUUCUUCUUCUUCCUUUCCCGAUUCACCUUCUCUUCUCUCAGCUCUCCCCUUCUCCUUCGGCGAAACAGGGGAUCCGUGACCCCCCUGCCGCCCCCUUCUUCUUUCCUCUCGGUCGAUCCUAAGAGCGGCCGCAGUGGCCGGCCCUGGCAGCAACAGGAGGUGGCGGAGCAAGCCCAGCCACCCCGGCGACUGGCGGCGGCGAACACGCCGACGGCUAGAGCCGAAGCCGUUUUGGACCCUUGGCCGGCUCCAACCCACAACACGUGAUGGCCAAGCAGUGAGAGAAGAGGAGAGGAAGGCUAACGAUUCUUACCUCCGCCCCGACGUCCGACGCCUCUCUUCGUCUUCGGCGGCAAAGGAAGAAGAAGACCACUCAAUGGCCCUCUCUCUCUCUCUCUUUCGGCAGCAACACAAGGAAGAAGGAAGAGCUCCAACCCAAGGGAAGCUCGGGCAAGGCGGCUACCUUGGGUGGCCUCAAAGGAAGGAGGAAGAAGCCCUAAAAACAGGGCUUCCUUCUUUUUCGGGCGAGAAUCCCGCUUCUUUGUUUGCCCUCACGUGAGACACACG